rnacentral:rRNA from 2 species
GGAAGAUGUAACGGGGCUAAACCAUGCACCGAAGCUGCGGCAGCGAACGUAUCACUUAAAGCGAUUCAGCGGGUUACGAUUGACGGAGCGAAGCGACGUCAAAGCGUAUACAAAGUCGAGUCGGUUUAAGGAUACGUUCGUUGGGUAGGGGAGCGUUCUGUAAGCCCGUGAAGGUGGCCUGUGAGGGUUGCUGGAGGUAUCAGAAGUGCGAAUGCUGACAUAAGUAACGAUA